rnacentral:rRNA from 1 species
GGGCGCAGCCUGAUCCAGCCAUACCGCGUGGGUGAAGAAGGCCUUCGGGUUGUAAAGCCCUUUUGUUGGGAAAGAAAUCCAGCUGGUUAAUACCCGGUUGGGAUGACGGUACCCAAAGAAUAAGCACCGGCUAACUUCGUGCCAGCAGCCGCGGUAAUACGAA